GUUAGGCUAUUUUACUACAGGUUUUUUUUUUUUUUUUUUAAUCUUUUGUGAUUUAAUUAAUGUUAAAUUUAAUUAAACACUCUAUACUUUUUUUUAUUCAAAAAAUAUUAAGAAAUAUUAUGAUGCUUCUCACUUGCACUCUUUUUUAUUUAUUAUCGUUAUAAGUAAUAAAGUAUUUACUUGUUCACAUCCAAGAUGGAAAACACCAAUAUAAAUAAAAAGGACAACAAUCCCCUUAAAUUUAUAAAUUAAAAAUAAAAUGCCUUUCCCAAGCCAUUUGUGAAUCCAUGUAACUCAGCAUCCGUCUCCAAGAUCUGCCUGCAACUACUAGUCAUUAGAGAGACUCACAAAAACUUCAGGUAUAUAUGAUAACACUUGAUCAUCUUCAUGAGUUUUGCUUUUGCUUCCAAUAAACCCAAAGAGUUAAUUGUAUUUCUUCUCUGCAGUCUCGGCAUGGGAUAAAGAGGUAAUUGGACCUCUUCAGAAUCAUGGUGAUGAGCUUAUUUCGGUCUUCACAGGAAAUUUGAAGCUUCAGUAAUUUCAAAAAUCUUCACCCCCUUUUCAGUGCGCAUGGAUUACGCAUAUGUGUAUCAUAUAGUUCACUCUCCAAAGUUUUGUUAAUCUGUGUUUAGUUUCUGUAAAGCCUAAUCUCUAGUAGAAAAUAUCAUUUAUAUGUUACCAAGAUUUAAGAAUGUAUUAGGUUUGAUAAAAUUAAGCCAAGCAAACUCAUCCAUUUUCUAGUCAGAAGUUUGAUAAAUUAUAUAUUUUAAGUUCUAUGAGUUUUAUAUGGAAGUACAUUAUUAGAGAAAUAAUCUUUAUUAAUGCUAAAAUUGUGUCAGUGAUGUUGACACGUGGUUUGAUGAAUUCAUCGUUAAAGUGAUGUGAAAUCAUAUAGGGAGACUAAAAUAGACAUUAAAUAUUAGACUUGGAGCCACUCAGCCUUUUGGCCUAGUGGUUGGGCUGCUGGUGCCCUCACAAGCGUGAGGGUGGCGGUCCAAGCCCUCACAAAAGUAUUGAAUAAUUAAAUUAUUUAUAAGUCGUUCUUUCUUAUGAAAUACGAGUGGAGAAGAGACAUUUUUCAUCUGAGAGAGUUAUUUGUCUG
rnacentral:lncRNA from 1 species